CCCUUAGAUGUUCUGGGCUGCACGCGUGCUACACUGAUAUUGCCAAUAUGUCAUUCUUAUCCGAAAUGGAUUGGGUAAUCAAGUAAUGAAAUUUCAUGCUUGGAAUCGGUAAUUGCAAUUUUAUCGUGAACGAGGAAUUCCUAGUAAGCACUAGUCAUCAGCUAAUGUUGAUUAUGUCCCUGCCCUUUGUACACACCGCCCGUCGCACCUACCGAUUGAAUGGUCCGGUGAAAUCUUCGGAUUGAGACUUUGAUUUCUUCACGGAAAACGCUGUUUUAAAAAGUUGAUUAAACCUUACCAUUUAGAGGAAGGUGAAGUCGUAACA
rnacentral:rRNA from 1 species